rnacentral:rRNA from 1 species
UACGAAGGGGGCUAGCGUUGUUCGGAAUUACUGGGCGUAAAGCGCGCGCAGGCGGUCGUUCAAGUCGAGUGUGAAAGCCCCCGGGCUCAACUGGGGAGGGUCACUCGAUACUGAUCGACUCGAAGGCAGAAGAGGGAAGCGGAAUUCCCGGUGUAGUGGUGAAAUGCGUAGAUAUCGGGAGGAACACCAGUGGCGAAGGCGACUACCUGGCCUGUUCUUGACGCUGAGGCGCGAAAGCUAGGGGAGCAAACGGG